AAAUGUUCCCCAUACGCCCUGACCCCUAACGCAUAACGACCCAUAACCCUUACACCCCUACGACCAUCAACCCCUUGUUUCCCACUCACUCUCUCCGGACGCCUCCAGCUUUGCGGGGCCACUGGGCUCUAUAGGGCAGAUAUAGAUAUAUAUAUAGGGCAUAGUUAUGGGGUGGCUGUGGGGUGGUUGUGGGGUGGCUGUGGGGUGGCUAUGGGGUGUAAUGGGUGUUAUGGGGUGGUUGGUGGGGUGGUUGUGGGUGGUUAUGGGGUGGUUGUGGGCUGGUUAUUGGGGUGGUUAUGGGGCGGUUAUGGGUGGUUGUGGGUGAGUUACUGGGUGGUUUAUGGGGUGGUUAUGGAGGUGGUUAUGGGCGGUU
rnacentral:lncRNA from 1 species